rnacentral:rRNA from 1 species
CCUACGGGAGGCAGCAGUGAGGAAUAUUGGUCAAUGGACGAGAGUCUGAACCAGCCAAGUAGCGUGAAGGAUGACUGCCCUAUGGGUUGUAAACUUCUUUUAUAUGGGAAUAAAAUGUUCCACGUGUGGGAUUUUGUAUGUACCAUAUGAAUAAGGAUCGGCUAACUCCGUGCCAGCAGCCGCGGUAAUACGGAGGAGCCGAGCGUUAUCCGGAUUUAUUGGGUUUAAAGGGAGCGUAGGUGGAUUGUUAAGUCAGGUGUGAAAGUUUGCGGCUCAACCGUAAAAUUGCAGUUGAAACUGGCAGUCUUGAGUACAGUAGAGGUGGGCGGAAUUCGUGGUGUAGCGGUGAAAUGCUUAGAUAUCACGAAGAACUCCGAUUGCGAAGGCAGUUCACUGGACUGCAACUGACACUGAGGCUCGAAAGUGUGGGUAUCAAACAGGAUUAGAUACCCGGGUAGUC